GAUUCCAUGGUCUAGUGGUAAGGACCCCAGACUCUGAAUCUGGUAGCCCGAGUUCAAGUCUCGAUGGAACCU